rnacentral:rRNA from 1 species
GACGAACGCUGGCGGCGUGCUUAACACAUGCAAGUCGAACGGAAAGGCCCUGCUUUUGUGGGGUGCUCGAGUGGCGAACGGGUGAGUAACACGUGAGUAACCUGCCCUUGACUUUGGGAUAACUUCAGGAAACUGGGGCUAAUACCGGAUAGGAGCUCCUGCUGCAUGGUGGGGGUUGGAAAGUGUCGGCGGUUGGGGAUGGACUCGCGGCUUAUCAGCUUGUUGGUGGGGUAGUGGCUUACCAAGGCUUUGACGGGUAGCCGGCCUGGGAGGGUGACCGGCCACAUUGGUACUGAGAUACGGCCCAGACUCCUACGGGAGGCAGCAGGGGGGAAUAUUGCACAAUGGGCGGAAGCCUGAUGCAGCAACGCCGCGUGCGGGAUGACGGCCUUCGGGUUGUAAACCGCUUUCGCCUGUGACGAAGCGUGAGUGACGGUAAUGGGUAAAGAAGCACCGGCUAACUACGUG